rnacentral:rRNA from 1 species
GUACACUCCUACGGGAGGCAGCAGUGGGGAAUAUUGGACAAUGGGCGCAAGCCUGAUCCAGCCAUGCCGCGUGAGUGAUGAAGGCCCUAGGGUUGUAAAGCUCUUUCACCGGUGAAGAUAAUGACGGUAACCGGAGAAGAAGCCCCGGCUAACUUCGUGCCAGCAGCCGCGGUAAUACGAAGGGGGCUAGCGUUGUUCGGAUUUACUGGGCGUAAAGCGCACGUAGGCGGACUAUUAAGUCAGGGGUGAAAUCCCGGGGCUCAACCCCGGAACUGCCUUUGAUACUGUUAGGCUUGAGUUCGAGAGAGGUGAGUGGAAUUCCGAGUGUAGAGGUGAAAUUCGUAGAUAUUCGGAGGAACACCAGUGGCGAAGGCGGCUCACUGGCUCGAUACUGACGCUGAGGUGCGAAAGCGUGGGGAGCAAACAGGAUUAGAUACCCCAGUAGUCCC